CGCUGAGAACCUAAGUUGUUCCAGGCACUGAUAGAGAGGUGUGAGUAGCAUGGUAUAAAAAGUCAUGAACGAAUUCACAUGAGGCAGUAGAAGAUGCACGUCUUCUCAUGGGAGAACUUCUAGAGGACUAAAGGUUACUGGCCUCUUUUAUUCUUUUCAUGAUGCCCACCCAUUCCUGUGAAUGACUCCUGUAGCAUCACUAAAAUGUCAUCUCCAGCUUGUUCUCCAGGAAGGAUGAACGUGUGGAAGCUGGCAUUUGAUUUCUUCCUGCUGGCUACUGACCUUAGAGAGACAGCAUGGACAGUGUGGAUACUCACUCUAACAUCAGGCAUGCUAUCAGACUGAUUCAGAGUGAGAAGUUUCAACAGGCUGGUUUAAAAGGAAUUGCAACUGUGAUCACCAAUCUUGAGCAAGAUUUUGACCUUGGUAUUCAUCAACAAUUGAUGAGACAACAUAGGCUUAAAGAGAUAUGGGAGCCUUAUACAAGCCCCCUAGAAGGACCAGCAGUGGGGAGUGUGGAGAUGAGGAGGACUGAGAUUUACUCUAUGGAAAGCACAAAAUUAAGAGAAAGAGAUAUGACUCUGAGGCCAAGGUUGCCAAGAUUGGAAACAACACCAGUGCCUCACUGUGAAAUCCAGCUUCGAUACCCAUAGAAGGCUCAGCCAUUGUGCUGCCAUGCUGACCCUCCCUUCUGAAGCCUCUGCCUGUAGUUUUCAUGGCAGCACAAUUGGACCUGGAUUCCUUGCAACUGUCAAAAUGAAUGAGAUGGAGCAUGAAUCCCAUUGCUUUAUCUUGCUGCAUUUGGGGUUUGUUUUCUAAAGUAAUUAUUCACAAGAUGUAGCACUUCACUUUUUUCUUCACAGCUGUGGAUGAACACUCACUCUAAAUCAAUACCCUAUUCUUAUCUAGAAUUACAUAGGAAGAGAGGCUUGAAGAUGAUUGGAGAUGUUGGAGAGGAGGAGAGAUUUCUUUCAAGGGAAAGUCAUUGCUGAGCUCAUAGUGGAAAACUUCUAGAAGAAAUGGUGCCAAGGGAUAUAAAUGAAGGGUCAGUAGAAAGAAAGUCAAUAGGAUAUCCUUGUUUGCUGAAGAGUCAUAGAUGUAAAGAAAAAUACAUUUAAUUUGGGUUAGAGCAAAGCUUUUUGUUGACACUUAAUCUUUAAGUAUCCUGUUCCCACAGCACUACUUAUGAAAGUGAUCUUCACCCCAAUGAAUAAUAAUAGUACUGAUCUGUAAGAAGAAAAUAGUAGAAAUUGAUAGGUAAAUUAAUUAGCUCAAAAGAUUUAUCUUCCAUUACCAAAUUAUAAAACUACUAUAGUGAUAAAGACCGACCUUCUCCUACAGAAUGGGAGAAGAUAUUUGCAAAUGACAUAUCAGAUAAAGGGUU